CGAACGCUGGCGGCACGCCUAACACAUGCAAGUCGAACGAAGCAUAGCAGCUUGCUGUUAUGACUGAGUGGCAAACGGGUGAGUAACGCGUGGGUAUCUACCUAUGAGAGGGGGAUAACUUUGGGAAACCAAAGCUAAUACCGCAUAAGCCCUGAGGGGGAAAGGAGCAAUCCGCUGAUAGAUGAGCCCGCGUUAGAUUAGGUAGUUGGUAGGGUAAAGGCCUACCAAGCCUAUGAUCUAUAGCUGGUCUGAGAGGAUGGUCAGCCACACUGGGACUGAGACACGGCCCAGACUCCUACGGGAGGCAGCAGUGGGGAAUAUUGGACAAUGGGGGAAACCCUGAUCCAGCGAUGCCGCGUGAGUGAAGAAGGCCUUAGGGUUGUAAAACUCUUUCAGUAGGGAAGAUGAUGACGGUACCUACAGAAGAAGCACCGGCUAACUCC
rnacentral:rRNA from 1 species